rnacentral:rRNA from 1 species
AUUGAACGCUGGCGGCAGGCCUAACACAUGCAAGUCGAACGAGUUGCGGACGGGUGAGUAAUGUCUGGGAAACUGCCUGAUGGAGGGGGAUAACUACUGGAAACGAUAGCUAAUACCGCAUACCAUCAGAUGUGCCCAGAUGGGAUUAGCUAGUUGGGGUGGUAACGGCUCACCAGGGCGACGAUCCCUAGCUGGUCUGAGAGGAUAACCAGCACCACUGGAACUGAGAAACGGUCCAGAUUCCUACGGGAGGCAGUAGUGGGGAAGAUUGCACAAUGGGCGCAAGCCUGAUGCAGCCAUGCCGCGUGUAUGAAGAAGGCCUUCGGGUUGUAAAGUACUUUCAGCGGGGAGGCGUUACCCGAAGAAGAAGCACCGGCUAACUCCGUGCCAGCAGCCGCGGUAAUUC